UAUACACAAGUAUUGUACCCACAAUUGGCAGCCAGUUGACAUCUAACUGUCACUUGGACCCCCACAUUCUGUGUAUUGGAGGGAGAUUAGAAAGACCUUUAAAGUUACUUGUAUUGUGAAAUGCCACUUAAUAUCCACUCAGGGUUGGUUUAAUGCUUAUUUUUAGAGGUGCAUUUCAUCUCUGCACCAUCCAGUUUCAAAGCUUACAAAACAUCAUGUGUUAUGAAUAGCAUAACAUUGAAAAGCUUUGUCUUUGGCCUCUGCAUCUCACAGGGUCAAGGUCACUAAACAUUUGUGACAAUUUUAGUGAGUGCAGCAAGCUCUAAAGAUAAUGACUUGGAAAAUUUAAGUCGCAUUAAUGUAGCAGUGUGUUUUAACUUGUAUAUAUUAUAUGAUACCAUAUUUUAAUAAACAUGAAUAGUGCAUAUGAAUUAAAAGCGCAUUUUAUGAUUUAAGUCAAAUUCCCAGAUCCACCCCUUUAUUUACUUAGUGUAAUAGGUGAGUGAAAAGGUUCACAGGUCUUGGUAUUUCAUUGGCUAUAGAACUGAGUUUUAUUCAGUUAGAAUCUAGAGAGUUUUUGGUCAGGUUGGUCGUGGCUUGCUUUUAAGCAGUUUUGGUAUCUUUGUGCUGAUUUGGCAUUUUGGUUUUGACAAAGACAUUAUUAGACCUUCAAAUCCAGACCUGACAGUAAGUACUAAUUUUAUUAACAUUUAUCUUCAUUAUAUGUAUAUAUAACUAAUAUCACUGUUUGAGAGAAGAGUGAAAGUUUAAAUAUUAUGAAGAACAGUAAAUAUCAAUUUAAAGUUAUUUCCUCUCAGUAUAUGCUUAUAUUAUAUCUAUAGUUAUUAUAGUGUAUAUAGUACUGUAAUGAUAUAUUUGUUAUAAAUAGAUUAGAAGCAUCCAGGCAGCAUUUUGAUGUUUGCAUGCAUUGGGCCUUGUCCCAUAGAUAGCAUCUAACACUAGCAAUCACUCACGUUGGGUUCUCAGUUUUAAUGCCUUGGUGAUGUGAAACGUAUGACACCCCCCUCCCCCACGUACAACUUGUCUUGGGGUUAGUUUUGCACAGCAUGCAAGAAGAAGGUGUUUCCGGAUGACCCCCACCUAUAGGCCAACAUGUCGUCAAGGCAGUAUAUCAAUUCGACUCAAUUGUUUAUUUAUAUCACCAAACAUGUUGGUAUACAUCAAGUCAACAGAAGAAAAAAAAAAGGACCACAAAUUACAUAACUAACAAAAUAAACAGUCAACGUACUAUAAAAUGAAUUAAUUUCAAAAUUUAAAUUAUUUGUGAUUACAAGUUGGCAAAUGUUAUCAUGGUACAGUAGUAUAGACUGCUUCUGUCUAUU